rnacentral:rRNA from 1 species
GACGGUAWGGUAUUGGCWUACCGUGGCAGUGACGGUUAACGGGGRAUUAGGGUUCRAUUCCGGAGAGGGAGCCUGAGAAACGGCUACCACAUCUAAGGAAGGCAGCAGGCGCGCAAAUUACCCAAUUCUAACAGCAUAAGAGAGGUAGUGACAAGAAAUAACAGUACAAGGCAGUUAAAAUGCUUUGUAAUUGGAAUGAUAGAAAUUUAAAUACUUUUUAAAGUAUCAAUUGGAGGGCAAGUCUGGUGCCAGCAGCCGCGGUAAUUCCAGCUCCAAUAGCGUAUAUUAAAAUUGUUGCAGUUAAAAAGCUCGUAGUUGAAUUUUUGCUAAAAAUAACCGGUCUGCUUUUAUUAAUAAAAGUGGUAUCUUGGUGUGUUUUUAGCAAUAAUGUCCUUURAAAUGUUUUUUACUUUAUUGUAAAAARCAAUUWUSAGGAUUUUUACUUUGAGAAAAUUAGAGUGUUUCAAGCARGCUAACGUUUUGAAUACUGCAGCAUGGAAUAAUAAAAUAGGAUUUUAGUUCUACGUUAUUGGUUUUAAGAACUAAAUUAAUGAUURAUAGGRGCAGUUGGGGGCAUUUGUAUUUAACUGUCAGA